CGGCCCAGACUCCUACGGGAGGCAGCAGUGGGGAAUUUUGCGCAAUGGGCGAAAGCUUGACGCAGCAACGCCGCGUGAUUGAAGAAGGACUUAGGUUCGUAAAGAUCUGUCGUAAGGGAAGAAUAAUUAAUAUUCUAACACAAUAUUAAUCUGACGGUACCUUACAAGAAAGCUCCGGCUAACUUCGUGCCAGCAGCCGCGGUAAUACGAGGGGAGCAAGCGUUGUUCGGAUUUAUUGGGCGUAAAGGGCUCGUAGGCGGAUUGAUCAGUCAAAAUUUAAAGCCAAUGGCUUAACCAUUGAUCUGGUUUUGAUACUAUCAAUCUUGAGUUAUAUAGAGGUAAGCGGAAUUCCUGGUGUAGCGGUGAAAUGCGUAGAUAUCAGGAGGAACACCAAAGGCGAAGGCAGCUUACUGGGUAUAAACUGACGCUGAGGAGCGAAAGCGUGGGUAGCGAACAGGAUUAGAGACCCUGGUAGUCCACGCCGUAAACGAUGAGCACUUGGUGGUGGAGGAUUCGACCCCUUCACUGUCGUAGCUAACGCGUUAAGUGCUCCGCCUGGGGACUACGACCGCAAGGUUGAAACUCAAAGAAAUUGACGGGGACCCGCACAAGCGGUGGAUUAUGUGGUUUAAUUCGAUGCAACGCGAAGAACCUUACCUGGAUUUGACAUAUUUUUGAAAGCUCUGUGAAAGCAGAGCCCUUUUUGCGCUUGCGUAAAAACAAUUAUACAGGUGAUGCAUGGCUGUCGUCAGCUCGUGUCGUGAGAUGUUCGGUUAAGUCCGAUAACGAGCGCAACCCCUAUCUUUAGUUGCCAGCACGUAAUGGUGGGGACUCUAGAGAAACUGCCCGGGAUAACCGGAAGGAAGGUGGGGUCGAUGUCAAGUCAGUAUGUCCCUUACAUUCAGGGCUACACACGUAAUACAAUGGGAAAUACAAAGAGUCGCCAAAUCGCGAGAUGGAGCUAAUCUCAAAAAAUUUCCCCAAGUUCGGAUUGCAGUCUGCAACUCGACUGCAUGAAGUAGGAAUCGCUAGUAAUCGCGCAUCAGCAUGGCGCGGUGAAUACGUUCCCGGGUCUUGUACACACCGCCCGUCACGCCAUGGAAGCUGGUCGCACCCAAGUGCAGUGCCCUAACCUUCGGGAAGGAGCUGUUUAAGGUGAGAUUGGUAACUGGGGCGAAGUCGUAACAAGGUAGCCGUACCGGAAGGUGCGGCUG
rnacentral:rRNA from 1 species